UACAUUUGAUAGAAAAGAAAACAACAAAAGAAUGAACGAGACCUCGAUAUUACGUAAAUAGAGGAAUUUAUCUGUAAUAUAAUAUGUGACAAUUAUUUGGUUGCCAUAAGACUGAGUUUCAGAUGUUGAGGCAGAAAC